GGAAGGCUGAAAGAAGCUGAGGAGGAGGCCGACCCUGUUGGAAGACCAGUAGUCUCAAUUAACCUGGUCCCCAGAGAUCAUUCAGAUACUGGAACAUCAACCAGUAUACUCAAGCCUAAUAAGAGAGAAGAACUGGACACAUCACAAUCUGACAUCGACUUCUUUAUGUUAUUUUAAGAAAAUUGGAGUCACAUCAGAAACAAGCAAAAUUGGAGUCACAACAGAAACUGACAACUGAGAUCAACUUACACAAAAUAGAAAAUGAAACACAAUGCAGUAAGAAGACUUAAACAGUAAUUCUACAGAAUUUGUUCAGU